CAAACACAAAAUUCAUUUGAUAAACAAGAAUCAAGUGACAACUCCUCUCCAACAAAGAGGUGUUGGUAUUCAGAAAUUGUGCCAAAAAAAUCGUGCUAUACUUGCAAGAACUGCUUGGCAUCUUUUUCAACAUCCCAACACACUUUGGGCAUUUCUAAUUUUACAAAAAUAUUUGCCUUUUUUGAUGGACCAAACAUAUCUCGUUCAACAACUUGGAAACAUGUUCUUCUCGGAUGGAAUUCCUAUCAAUUUGGUAGAGUUUGGAAAAUUACUACUGGUCAGCAUAUCAAUCUCUGGAACCAGCCUUGGAUAACACCAAAUGUACUUCUUCGAUAUUUCAUCUAGGGCCCUCUCAACAAAGAGACAGAUACUAGAGAUCAUCAACAUGCGCAUCAUUGAUGAUCUAUUUGUAUUCAGCUGAUUGAGACAGGUACUAGAGAUCAUCAAUAGGUGCAUAGUUAAGAAUCUAUUUGUAUUCAGCUGAUUGGCACCUCCUCAACCACCUGAAUGAUCCACCACUUGCUCGUGUGUACCGGGAGCAAAAUGCAAUGGCUGACAAAUUGGCACAUUUUGGUUCUUCAAUGAUCGGAAGCAAUGCCAGAAUAUUCUAACAACCUCCUGUUUUUGUUAUGGAUCUCCUAAAAGCAGAUCAAGGAGGGGUUACAAAAUCAAGAACUAUAGACCAAGCUGCAUCCUACACAACCAAUGAUGCUUCAGUGUUUAGUUCAUAAGCUUUUUUCUCUAGAGGUUUUUGUAAUGUCAGCCUAACUAGAACUACUUUUAAUGAUCCUUCUAGCUCUAAGGAUCGAAUAGAUACUACUACUACCUCUUUGUAUCCCACUGUUGGGAAUACUUGCUUCUAUGUACUUUUUUUUUAAUUUGAUAUAAGUUCAUCUUUGUUACUAAAAUAAAAAAACUUCACAUAUUUAG